UACGUAGGUGGCAAGCGUUGUCCGGAUUUACUGGGCGUAAAGAGCGCGCAGGCGGCUGGCCAAGUCCGAUGUGAAAUCUCCCGGCUUAACUGGGAAACUGCAUCGGAAACUGACCGGCUUGAAGGUGGGAGAGGGUAGUGGAAUUCCUGGUGUAGCGGUGAAAUGCGCAGAUAUCAGGAGGAACACCUAUGGCGAAGGCAGCUCGCUGGGACGGUACUGACGCUGAGACGCGAAAGCGUGGGGAGCGAACAGG
rnacentral:rRNA from 1 species